AGAGUUUGAUCAUGGCUCAGAACGAACGCUGGCGGCAGGCCUAACACAUGCAAGUCGAGCGGGCACUUUCGGGUGUCAGCGGCGGACGGGUGAGUAACGCGUGGGAACGUGCCCCUUGGUACGGAAUAGCUCCGGGAAACUGGUGGUAAUACCGUAUAAGCUCUUCGGAGGAAAGAUUUAUCGCCAAGGGAUCGGCCCGCGUUGGAUUAGGUAGUUGGUGGGGUAAUGGCCUACCAAGCCGACGAUCCAUAGCUGGUUUGAGAGGAUGAUCAGCCACACUGGGACUGAGACACGGCCCAGACUCCUACGGGAGGCAGCAGUGGGGA
rnacentral:rRNA from 1 species